AUCAUGGCUGCCUCCGAAUAACAUCAAAACAAUAGCAAGGUUUCGAAGGAAUAAAGCCACAUAAAAAUAAG